rnacentral:rRNA from 1 species
UACGGAGGGUGCAAGCGUUGCCCGGAAUCACUGGGCGUAAAGGGCGCGUAGGCGGCUCAUGAAGGCUGUGGUGAAAGUCCGGGGCUCAACCUCGGAUCGGCCGUGGCGACUCGUGGGCUGGAGCACUGUAGAGGCGGGUGGAAUUCCGGGUGUAGCGGUGGAAUGCGUAGAGAUCCGGAAGAACACCAGUGGCGAAGGCGGCCCGCUGGGCAGUGGCUGACGCUGAGGUGCGACAGCGUGGGGAGCAAACAGG